CACGCAGGCGGAUUGAUAAGUCAGGGGUGAAAUCCCGGAGCUCAACUUCGGAAUUGCCUUUGAUACUGUCUGUCUUCGAGUUCGGGAGAGGUUGGCGGAAUUCCUAGUGUAGAGGUGAAAUUCGUAGAUAUUAGGAAGAACACCAGUGGCGAAGGCGGCCAACUGGCCCGAUACCGACGCUCAUGUGCGAAAGCGUGGGGAGCAAACAGGAUUAGAUACCCUGGUAGUCCACGCUGUAAACUAUGGAUGCUAGCCGUUGGGGAGCUUGCUCUUCAGUGGCGCAGCUAACGUCUUAAGCAUCCCGCCUGGGGAGUACGGUCGCAAGAUUAAA
rnacentral:rRNA from 1 species